GAUGAACGCUGGCGGCGUGCCUAAUACAUGCAAGUCGAGCGGUAAGGCUACUUCGGUAGUACACGAGCGGCGGACGGCUGAGUAACACGUAGGAACGUACCCCAAACUGAGGGAUAACUGCUCGAAAGAGUAGCUAAUACCGCAUGUGCUCUUCGGAGUAAAGCUACGGCGGUUUGGGAACGGCCUGCGUAAGAUUAGAUAGUUGGUGAGGUAAUGGCUCACCAAGUCGACGAUCUUUAGCUGGUCUGAGAGGAUGAUCAGCCAGACUGGGACUGAGAACGGCCCAGACUCCUACGGGAGGCAGCAGUAGGGAAUCUUCCACAAUGGACGAAAGUCUGAUGGAGCAACGCCGCGUGCAGGAUGAAUGUCUUCGGAUUGUAAACUGCUUUUCUCUGUGACGAAUAUGACGGUAGCAGAGGAAUAAGGACCUGCUAACUACGUGCCAGCAGCCGCAGUAAAAC
rnacentral:rRNA from 1 species